GUUGAUACGUCAGAUCACGUUUGAUCUUGUAAUGCGUCAUAGAUUUAUAAUUAACAUAUGAAGUAUUGAAAUGGUUAUAUAAGAACAUUUGAUAAAUGGAUAAUUUUGCUAGACCCUGAAUGACUGAGACUUUGUUCGACAUUUAAGAAUGCUUGUCACAGUUUUCAUUGUGUGCAUGGUGUCGACCGUGACAGCCCAAUAUGAGCCUUACAAUAGCAUUGGUCACAGCUUAAAUAACGGUUGGAAUGAUGACCGUGAUGAUAGCUAUGACAACGAUUUUGUAGGCGGAUUCCAGUCACGAUUUGAAGGAGGAUAUGGCAAUAGUCGCAAUAGGUUUGAUGACAAUGAUAGGGACUCUGAUAACAGAUACGACAACGACUUUAAUGGAAGAUCCAACGAUGGUUUUGAUGACAGAUACGACAGAACCUUUAAUGGGAGAAACAACAAUGGUUUCAAUGUCAGGUUGAAUGGAAGAUACGGUAAUGAUUAUGAUGACGGAUACGACAGUGACUCUUAUAGAGGAUACGGUAAUGGUGGAUACAAUAAUGGUGGAUAUGAAAGCGAUUCUUUUGGAGGAUGGGAUGAUUAAGGAUAUCCUUCCCAUCUGUGCAUACUUCGAUGUCUUUCAAAGUUUUCAUCAACAGCAAUUGAUUUUCUCUACUGUUCUUGUACGGAUGAUUGUUAUUGUUACACAAUAAAUGAUGAUUUUCAAGAACACUU